rnacentral:sRNA from 1 species
AAAUACAUUUUCAAAAUUAUCUAUUACUAGGUCCACUGGUCUCCACAUAAUGAAACUAUUCUGGCUUCAAGUGGUACUGACCGCCGCCUGAAUGUGUGGGAUUUAAGUAAAAUUGGGGAAGAACAAUCAGCAGAAGAUGCAGAAGAUGGGCCUCCAGAACUCCUGGUACGCAUUGGCUUAUAGAAGAUGAAAUGCCAUAUGCAGAUUGGAUUGUCAUUGAUCUCUUUAUUUCGAGAAUGAGUCAGAACUUUGAAUUCUAGCUCUUGCAGAUGGUUUCAAAAUGGAGGCCCUGAAGGUUAUUGCAAUUGGGCUUUGACGUUUAUCAAAAAUAGUAAAUGGAGCCCAGUAGGUUUUUAUGAAUGUUUCACUGAGAAUGGUUUGAGGUCCUGGAAAAUAGUGUAUAGUAAUUUCUCACUGAUUUCAACUCUGGUAUUUGUGAUGGUUUGGGGAUGGGGAGUGAGUAUAAUUGCUAUUCAGUUGGCAGUACUUAACAUUUCCUAACAGUAUAGAAAAAUUUUAAAUGCUUUUUAAGUUUCCUGCCCAGAAAAGGAGUGCUUUCUCAAUCUUGAUGCUAGCAGAGCCCACUAUCUCCCUCCCAUGCCUGAUUGAAGCAUCACGCAUCUCCUUGGCCCUUUGAAAGCUUAUGUGGUGGUAUCUGCCCAUCCUCAUUCUUACCGUCUGAGUCCUUCAGUGCUCACUUCGUCAUUUUUCUAUGAAGCAUUGCUGGAUUUAGCAAUGGUUCCCUGUCCUUGCUCUGAAUCCAACAUUUGUCUCCUCCCAUUAUUUGGCAGAUAGUCACUCGUCACUCUGUCAUUUAUGAUUUUAGUUCUAAUGCCAGUACUCAUUUUUGGCACACUUGUACUUUGUCCAUGAGUUUUAUUUAUUCAUUUUUUCUGUGAACCUAUGGAGUGUAUUGAAUGUCCACAAGUUUUCAAAGGUAAAGAAGGCCCUUGAGAGCAAGCCCUGCACACACAAGAUGUUCACUAAGCCCACCUUGUAAGAAUGCCCCAGUCCCUUUUAUUGUGAUGACAGCUUUACUGAGAUAGAAUUUACAUACCACAGUUCACUUCUUUAAAGUGUACAUUUCAGUGGGGAGGGAGUGUUCUUGGAUUUUGGGGUGUUUUUUUUUCUUUUUUUGUUCUUGAAGUCAGUGGUUUUUAGUAUAUUCAUAGACUUGUAAAACCAUCACCACAAAUCAAUUCUAGAACAUUAUUCAUCCCCUCCGAAAGAAACUAUAGCUAUCACCUCCCAAUUCUCUUCUUCCUCCAGCCCUUGGCAACUACUAUGCUACUUUCUGGCACAAUAAGAUUGGGCUAUUCUAGAUAUUUCAUAUAAAUAUGACUUUUGUCUUUUGUCUUUUGGGACUGAGUCUUUCACAUAGUACAAUGUUUUCAAGGUCUCCAGCUAUUUUUUUUAGGGAGAAAGGAAAGCGUAUUACUUUGUAUAUUAUGGCUUUGCAACAAUUCCAAGGUCCUUGAGAAAAUACACUAGGAUUUUGCUUUUCACAAGAGAGCUUGAAAUCAAGGGACAUUUGAGAGUAGUAAACUGGGCCUGGGCAUGGUGGCUCCUGCCUGGAAUCCCAGCACUUUGGGAGGCCAAGGCAGGUGGAUCACGUGAGCCCACAAGUUCAAGACCAGGCUGGGAAACAUGGCAAAAACCCUGUCUCUACAAAAAAAAAAAAAAAAAAAAAAAAAAAAAAAAAAAAAAAAAAAAACAUAAAUUAGCCAGGUGUGGUGGCGCGUGCCUGUAGUCCCAGCCACUUGGGAGACUGAGGUAGGAGAAUCACCUGAGCCCAGGAAGUUGAGGCUGCAGUGAGCCAUGAUCACACCACUGCACUCCAGCCUGGGCAAUGGGAGUGAGACCCUGUCCCAAAAACAAAGUAGUAACUAUUCCACCAGUAUGCUUUGAUAACCCCUGUAUGUAUUCUAAGCCCCAGUGAUCUUAAAAUAUAUUCACUUGUGUACCCCUUAAGAGUACUCACUCUGUCGCCCAGGCUGGAGUGCAGUGGUGCAAUCUCAGCUCACUGCAACCUCCGCCUCCCGGGUUCAAGUGAUUCUCCUGCCUCAGCCUCCUGAGUAGCUGGGACUACAGGUGCGCAACACCAUGUCCAGCUAAUUUUUGUAUUUUUAGUAGAGACGGGGUUUCACCAUGUUGGCCAGGAUGGUCUUGAUCUCUUGACCUCGUGAUCCGCCCGCCUCAGCCUCCCAAAGUGGUGGGAUUACAGGUGUGAGCCACCGCACCUGGCCAAUAUAUUCACUUGUGUACCCCUUAAGAGUACUUUAAAAAGCUGUUUACCUCUUUUUUUUUUUUAAGUCAAGGUUUGGUUCUAUCACCCAGGCUGGAGUGCAGUGGCGCAGUCUUAGUUCACUGCAACCUCCACCUCCCAGGUUCAAGCUGUCUUCCCAUCUCAGUCUCCUGAGUAGCUGGGACUACAGGCACACCCCACCACGCCCCGCUAAUUUUCGUAUUUUUUGUAGAGACGGGGUUUUGUCAUGUUGCCCAGGCUGGUCUUGAACUCCUGAGCUCGAGCCAUCCGCCUGCUUUGGCCUCCCAUAGUGCUGGGAUUACAGGCGUGAGUUUUACCCAGCCCCACCUCAUAUUUUUAACCCGAUAAGAUUAUUCGGUAAAAUAGAUACAUUGCAUAAUACCUAGUUGGCAGGCAGAGACCUCAUUGUCAAACUAGAGUCAAAUCAGACUUUGUCAGAAAGUGUGAUGUCCCAGUUCCAAACAAUGUAUUUUGUACUGUCCUUGUGAAGAAGUGUUUCGUUUAAAUCUUAAUUCUAAGAUAAAUAAGGCAUAGUGCGUUCCCACGAGGUUGUCUCUUGCAGGGAACACCUGCUGUCUUCAGAAUUGUUGAGCGAAGCUGUCUCACCUUAGGCAUAGCUUAUGAGGGACUAUCUGGAGCUAUGCUUUUGGAGCCAGGGAUUUUCUUUUGCCCUGGUGCUAUCUGUGUACGUUGGAAAGAUGGGCAAGAAGUAUGCCUCUCUUAGUAAAGUGGAGAGGGGAAGAACCAGAAGACUCCUCAGGCCCCUUGUAUAAUAGCAGAGUAUGUUACAUGGCAUAUAACAGAUUGAUUACCUUAGAUGUUUGCACCUAACUGUAUAUGAGCAAAUGAUGCCGGAUUAAUGUUCAUCAUAAUCAGUAUGGAAAUGGCAUUUUGAUUAUGUAGGAAAAUGUUUUCAUUCUUAAGGGAUGCAGACUGAAGUCUUCAGCCAUUUCAUUGUAUAGGCUCUUGGAUAAAGCAUCAGUUAUGCUAGUAGUACUUGGUGAAUCUAGGUAAAGGGUAUACAGGUAUCCAUUGUACUAUAUUCUGUCACCUUUUCUGGAGGUUUGGAAACUUGCAAAAUAAGUAUAAAUAGAUCACUGAGCCUGUACCAGCCUCUCUCUAAAACGAGACAGCACCCACCCCCAGUUGAAAUACUGAUGGCUCUAAAAACUUAGUAAAAUCUUUGUUAAGAUUAACAGGAGAGUAUAUGAAACCAAAGCUUUUUUUGUUCUUGUAACAGUUUAUUCAUGGAGGACACACUGCUAAGAUUUCAGAUUUUAGCUGGAACCCCAAUGAGCCUUGGGUCAUUUGCUCAGUGUCUGAGGAUAACAUCAUGCAGAUAUGGCAAAUGGCUGAAAAUAUUUACAAUGAUGAAGAGUCAGAUGUCACGACAUCCGAACUGGAGGGACAAGGAUCUUAAACCCAAAGUACGAGAUGUUUCUGUUGAAUGUAAUGCUACAUGAAUGCUUGAUUUGUCAAGCGCCAAAAAGGCAUUGUAUAGUAGGAAAUGUAAGUGGGGUGGCUUAUGGCUUCUUUAUCCUCUGAUUCUAGCACUUUCAAGUGAGCUGUUGCGUACUGUAUCAUAUUGUAGCUAUUAGGGAAGAGAAGAAUGUUGCUUAAGAAAGAACAUCACCAUUGAUUUUAAAUACAAGUAGCAGGGUAUUGCCUUUGAUUCAACUGUUUUAAGUCCUCAUUUUCUCAAACUAAGUGCUUGCUGUUCCCAAAUAUGCAAGAAUAACUUUUACACUUUUUCCUUCCAACACUUCUUGAUUGGCUUUGCAGAAAUAAAGUUUUAAAAU